AUGCUCGGCCAAAUCAGCCUGUCAAAAUCAUUUUGCCGGCACAGCCUAGUCGCUGGCCUGGAACUCAACGUUGGGAUGUUGGGUGUGCCUUUGAAGAGCAAAAAUUCCGCAUGGUUGGUCGCGCAAAACCGGUGCUGGACAGCAGAUCAUCUAGCGAGGCGACAGUUGGAUCACCCUGAGGUUUGCCCUUUUUGCGAGCAGGAAGAGACUAUAUCUCACUUGUUGUCCGAGUAUGCUUUCGCCCAGCAGGUCUGGCACUCAGUUCUAGCCCAUUAUGGUCUUCAGACCAUCACCCACCCUGAAGCCAUAUAUCAGUUUCUUGACUGGUUUCUGAGCGCGGCAGAGCGAGUCAGCGUUGGCGAGAUGAAGGGAGCUCAGUCACUCAUGUAG
rnacentral:rRNA from 1 species